GAAUUGACGGGGGCCCGCACAAGCAGUGGAGUAUGUGGUUUAAUUCGAAGCAACGCGAAGAACCUUACCAGGGCUUGACAUCCCUCUGACAGGUGUAGAGAUACACCCUCUCUUCGGAGCAGAGGAGACAGGUGGUGCAUGGUUGUCGUCAGCUCGUGUCGUGAGAUGUUGGGUUAAGUCCCGCAACGAGCGCAACCCCUGUUGUUAGUUGCCAUCAUUAAGUUGGGCACUCUAACGAGACUGCCGGUGACAAAUCGGAGGAAGGUGGGGAUGACGUCAAAUCAUCAUGCCCCUUAUGUCCUGGGCUACACACGUACUACAAUGGCGACUACAGAGGGCAGCGAGACCGCGAGGUUAAGCAAAUCCCGAAAAGUCGUCCCAGUUCGGAUUGCAGGCUGCAACCCGCCUGCAUGAAGUCGGAAUUGCUAGUAAUGGCAGGUCAGCAUACUGCCGUGAAUACGUUCCCGGGCCUUGUACACACCG
rnacentral:rRNA from 1 species